UACGUAGGAACCGAGCGUUGUCCGGAAUCAUUGGGCGUAAAGAGCGUGUAGGCGGCCACUUAAGUCCUGCGUGAAAUCCUGCGGCUCAACCGCAGGCGGUCGUGGGAAACUGGGUGGCUAGAGUGCGGGAGAGGAGAGUGGAAUUCCUGGUGUAGCGGUGGAAUGCGCAGAUAUCAGGAAGAACACCCGUGGCGAAGGCGGCUCUCUGGAACGCAACUGACGCUGAGACGCGAAAGCGUGGGGAGCAAACAGG
rnacentral:rRNA from 1 species